rnacentral:lncRNA from 1 species
GGAGAGUUCCAAUUAGAGGUUUCGGGAUUUUUCAACACUAUUGUUCAGUUCACCACGGUUUUGCAGAAACUCCGUCAAUUUCGGAUUACGCAAUUCACAAAACCUGGGUUCCUCCAAUCAUCAUCAUCAUCAAGCAUUCACCUUUCCAUUAUGAAAUUCCUUAAAUUGAAAACCUUCACAAUUCACAUACUCCUUCAGU